GCAGUGGUGGUUAAGAGGUAGAAUUCUCACUUUCCAUACGGAAGACCUGGGUUUGAUUCCCAGCCAAUGUA
rnacentral:tRNA from 1 species